AAGGGGGNAUNUUNAUUUUCUUUANAGGGAAGAGCCAAGCCAUGNUGGGGGAANAUUAUUUGGCCCCCANUUNGGGGNGCCAANUUCNCNUGAUUGCNAGGNCCAUNGNCCGNCGUUUUAAUGAAAGGAAGGGCCCUUUNGGGGGUUUGGNAAAAGNUACUUUUCCANCCGGGGAAGGAAAGGCCGAUUGCGGUUAAUNAACCGCGUUCGNAUUGACCGUUACCACGCAGAAAGAAGCACGCGNNUAACUCCGUGCCAGCAAGCCGCGGUAAUACGGAGGGNGCAAGCGUUAAUCGGAAUUACUGGGCGUAAAGCGCACGCAGNCGGUNUGUUAAGUCAGAUGUGAAAUCCCCGGGCUUAACCUGGGAACUGCAUUUGAAACUGGCAGGCUUGAGUCUUGUAGAGGGGGGUAGAAUUCCAGGUGUAGCGGUGAAAUGCGUAGAGAUCUGGAGGAAUACCGGUGGCGAAGGCGGCCCCCUGGACAAAGACUGACGCUCAGGUGCGAAAGCGUGGGGAGCAAACAGGAUUAGAUACCCUGGUAGUCCACGCCGUAAACGAUGUCGACUUGGAGGUUGUUCCCUUGAGGAGUGGCUUCCGGAGCUAACGCGUUAAGUCGACCGCCUGGGGAGUACGGCCGCAAGGUUAAAACUCAAAUGAAUUGACGGGGGCCCGCACAAGCGGUGGAGCAUGUGGUUUAAUUCGAUGCAACGCGAAGAACCUUACCUACUCUUGACAUCCAGNGAANUUAGCAGAGAUGCUUUGGUGCCUUCGGGAACGNUGAGACAGGUGCUGCAUGGCUGUCGUCAGCUCUUNUU
rnacentral:rRNA from 1 species